GGUUCGGCUUUACGCAGCGAACUCACCACGAAUCGGGUCAGGCCGGGAACGGAGCAGCCCUAAGAGGUGUUGUUCGGGUGCCGUAAAUGUCCGGGCCUCC
rnacentral:SRP_RNA from 1 species